rnacentral:lncRNA from 1 species
AAAUAAGACCCAGAGUCUAUUAAGAUGAUUUUUCAAAAUAUUCAGGAUAUAGUCCAAAAUUAUUCAGCAUACAAAGAACCAAGAAAACUUUAAUUUUAAUACAUAUGGGCAUGUGUUAAAAUAUGUGUGGGCCACAAGGAAAGAUGUGAUUUGAAUUGGUCUCGCUCUAACGUUGACACAGGUGUAAUAAAAUGGUUCUGAUUCCACCCAUCCUUUUUAUAAAUGCUCCGGAGGUCCUGAUAUUGCCAUAAUGUAUUCAAGACCUGGCCUGCUGCCUUCACCACUUUCAGAGAGGAUCUGUCACCUCUGCCUUUGGUUAUGUUCACCAGUCUCUAUGCCCCUCCCGAGUCAGAGCCAAGGCUUUUGCGUUCUCCAUGUUUUUGCUCGUCACCUCGUGCAGAGCACAGCAGAUGGCCGCCAUCGUCUCGUCGGACAGUAUGCUGGGGCCGUUGCCACCAGGGAGCCAGUUGACCAGGUCUCGCAUGGCGUAUUUACCUAUGAGCUCCUUGUUGCGGACAUCUAGAGCCAUAUUCCUCAAGACAGUUGCCACAGAAGAGACAACUGUAUCGUUAUCCAUCCUCAGAAGUUCAACAAGGAUGGGGAGCCCUUUUUCUUUUCGGACAGCUGCCUGGAUGUACGCUGCAAACUUCCAAUUUCCGGCAGAGAGGUUCUGGAGAGAUCCGGCAGAGCCUUCCAAGGGGCCUGGGUUAGAGCUUUCAGCUAGAAGAGUCAGAUAUGGUUUUACCACCGAUGGAUGCCACAACAUCUCAACCCCUUUGGGGGACUUUGACAGUCCUGGGAUAGGACCAACUCCAUCCCAUUGA